GACAUGCAGAGAACUUUCCAGAGAUGGAUUGGUGCCUUCGGGAACUCUGACACAGGUGCUGCAUGGCUGUCGUCAGCUCGUGUCGUGGGAUGUUGGGUUAAGUCCGUAACGAGCGCAACCCUUGUCCUUAGUUACCAGCACGUUAUGGUGGGCACUCUAAGGAGACUGCCGGUGACAAACCGGAGGAAGGUGGGGAUGACGUCAAGUCAUCAUGGCCCUUACGGCCUGGGCUACACACGUGCUACAAUGGUCGGUACAAAGGGUUGCCAAGCCGCGAGGUGGAGCUAAUCCCAUAAAACCGAUCGUAGUCCGGAUCGCAGUCUGCAACUCGACUGCGUGAAGUCGGAAUCGCUAGUAAUCGUGAAUCAGAAUGUCACGGUGAAUACGUUCCCGGGCCUU
rnacentral:rRNA from 1 species